UACGUAGGGGGCAAGCGUUGUUCGGAAUUACUGGGCGUAAAGGGCGCGUAGGCGGCACGGCAAGUCGGGAGUGAAAGGCCUGGGCUCAACCGAGGAACUGCUUUCGAGACUGCCGAGCUAGAGUGCGGAAGGGGCAUCUGGAAUUCCCAGUGUAGCGGUGAAAUGCGUAGAUAUUGGGAAGAACACCUGGGGCGAAGGCGGCCAGCUGGGCCGUCCCUGACGCUGAGGCGCGAAGGCGUGGGGAGCGAACGGG
rnacentral:rRNA from 1 species